GUCAUCCGCUCUUCGAGACGAAUAGUUACAGUGAGACUUUUACUUGAGACACAUCAGUCACGCCAAUGCAUUUCACGUUCAAAGAGUUCGAAGAAUAACCGGUUUGUCACCUGCUGAGAACAUUUGGACUAAAUAGUAUUUGAGUAAAUAAUAACGAGAUCACAAGUUGUUAGCCGUGGUUUGUUCGUGAGAAAAUGGAUGAGAUACUUUUUUUGGAUGAGGAUCCACCGACUGAUGAAAACAAUGCUAUGGAUAGACCAAAAAGUGAUCCCGUUAUCGAUCUCUUUUCCAUAUACAGACUCUAACAACAAGGGAAACAGCAAAUGUAUGUCGAGUGUUCAAAUUCUUCAAGGAUCUUCGAAAAUAACAGCUAUGUUCUCGGUCCCGUCGACAUCUUUCGCUCCGCAAAUCAAUACCAGUUGCAAGAUAGCCACGCAUCAACAAACUCUCUAAUAUCUGGUGACACAAUACGAGGGUAGAGAUACGAAAGUAGGUUACAAACCCACUUUGUGAGCACGCCCGCGGAGAUCUCGCAAAAACGUCGGUACACGAUCGAUCAACCCGAAGCUGCGAAAAUGCUUAAUAUUCUUACACUCAUUUAUCACGAUCAGUAAAGGUGCAAAAAAGUGAAGCUGAAUCCUGCAUUGACGAUUCGUGAAAAACCUCCAAGUGGGAACCAUUCGAUGAUUAUUUCACAUCUCAUUAAUCCCACCGUUUUAUGCGGUAAAAGCGACAAAUAUUGGAGAGCUAAUCUAAUUUGAAAGAGAGCAUUGGAAGUUUGGAAAAAUGUACUUGCACACGUUCAGCUGUAUGCUGCAAAACAGUUGAAUUAUCUUUCUUUGGUUUGCAAAAUGAGGACAAGUGCAAAGAGGUACGGGAUAUUAUCAACAGGCAUUGACGAUCUAUGAAGUUGGAAUGGAACUGGAUGAUACAAACGUCACUGAAGCCAGAAGCAAUUCAAAUUCAGGCUAUAUAAAACAGGGAAAAUACAAAGAUAUGAACUGAUCUUUACUAUCAGAGCUUCACACGAACUCACGAGAAAGAAUCCAGUACUAUCUACUGGGACAAAAAAUCAACUCGGCAGCUUUCGAGCGAUUUUUUCCACUCCAAUAAAACCUGACAACACCGAUUUGCGGCCCAGUUUAUCGAAAAAUACGAAGAUGGAAUCAUGCGAGUUUCACAAGAAAGGCGGGACGGCCCUCUACUAAUCUGAAGUAUCGGAUUUGUAUAUGUUCAUUUACAAACACGUGGGUAACGGCGGAAUCAGAAGAGAACAAGCACAACGGUGGAGUCACACAUUGCAUCGAAUAUGAUAGUCUGCACAAAGAGUGGAAAUUGUUUCAUCAACGGUAACUACAUGCUUAAAAAUCUUAUUUAUCAAUCACAACAAAGGUAUAAAACAGGGCCGUGCGAGAGAUUUUAAAUAUUACGGAUAGAAGCUACACUGUAGUGUAAAAAUUAAUUCUAGAAGUGUCCAUUCUCGCUCUUAUACACUUACAAAUCAUGAAGGGUUAGUCUAUUUGUUCUUAUGAUAUUUUUAUUCGAAUAUUUGGGUGGGGGUCAAAACAGCAAACGAUCAAAAUAGCGAACAGGCAUUCUGCAUAUCUGUAUAUGCAUAUAUAGAUAUACUAAAUGCCCUGUUCGCUAUUUUGUCGUUCGUUGUAUUGACCCCCACCCGAAUAUUUAACUAGACACUAUUCACAUUUACUAUCACUAGAGCACACUACGACACAAAAUUUUAGUUUUUUCAAUGACAGUUUUGAAUGCUCAGCCAUUACUCAGCCGCAUACUUUGUGGUAACAUUUGUUUCCGCAUAAAGUUGACCAUAGUGUGUAUGAAGGAGAGAAAUAUUCAAAUGGAUACAAGAAGUAGGAACGAGACAGUGCGAUGGGUUUAAUGAAAUGCAUGCUCAACCCUUUAUUUGUUAUAAAAAAUAUAUUCAUAGAAAAUUAUCAGAAACUUCAGGAUUCAGCUAUCAACUAAAUGCACAUGCGUGUGUGGAUAUAAUAUUGUACCGUGUAUGUUGAACCUUAAUUAUUGUUAUCGUAGACAAACUUUUUAUUAUAAUAAUACUUGUGCAAAAUCAACCUCAAUUCAGGACUAAAUUGCCAUGUCGAAGCAGUGUCUGUCUUCUUUGAGAUUCAAUUUUCAACUGACUCCUUCUUGCCCAGCAAACAACUGCUUCAGCGGAAGGAGGGAGAAUUAUGAAAAGUUUAAACAUCUUUUAGUAAAAAAAUAUAAAGAAAGUACGGUCCUCUAAAUGGACGCCAUUUGGUUUUCCUCAUCGGAAAGAUGACUUCCCGAAGUACGCAGCACAUUGAUAUUUUUUAAGAUUUAGAAGAAUACAACACAAAAAAAAAGUAAAUUCAUGAGUCAUGAAUGUGGUCGCCACGCAAUGGACAGUCCGCACGAUGGCUCUUGAAUCCCAUCCGUCGCUCACUCACUAAGUCCUUUGUUACAUCCCCGUAGAAGAUUUUGAAUUAGUAGGGGUAUACGUAACACGGUGUUACGUCCCCGUAGAAGAUUUUGAAUUAGCAGGGGGGUAUACGCAACACGGUAUUGACUCUUCUUUUGGGUCAAGACACUCAAGUCCUUUACCCGGGGACGAGAGCCACGUUGAUUGAGUAUGGGAGCGCAAGAAUAAUAUUUCCUUUUUGCGAGUUAGGUUGAUUUAGACCCCGAUGGCAUGCAGAUGAACCCUCUGGGGGGUGACGAUGUGGUUUGUUUGAAUAAAAGAGUACUCACAGGUUUUUUUUCCUUGCUUGGUUAAUUGGUGUUACUCUUUAUUGGAAGGUACUGGUUGUUCCCUUGUUACGUCCCUGUAGAAGAUUUUGAAUUGGCAGGGGGUAUAUGCAACACGGUAUUGACUCUUCUUUCGGGUCAAGACACUCAAGUCCUUUACCCAGGGACGAGAGCCACGUCGAUUGAGUAUGGGAGAGCAAGAAUGAUAUUUCCUUUUUGCGAGUUAGGUUGAUUUAGAUCCCGAUGGCAUGCAGAUGAUGAACCCUCUGGGGGGUGACGAUGUGGUUUGUUUGAAUAAAAGGGUACUCACAGG